UACGUAGGGGGCAAGCGUUGUCCGGAUUUAUUGGGCGUAAAGAGCGUGUAGGCGGCUUUACAGGUCCGUUGUGAAAACUCGAGGCUCAACCUCGAGACGCCGGUGGAAACCGUAAAGCUAGAGUCCGGAAGAGGAGAGUGGAAUUCCCGGUGUAGCGGUGAAAUGCGCAGAUAUCGGGAGGAACACCCGUAGCGAAGGCGGCACUCUGGGCCGGAACUGACGCUGAGGAGCGAAAGCGUGGGGAGCAAACAGG
rnacentral:rRNA from 1 species